rfam:Schistosoma mansoni, Puerto Rico, WGS project CABG01000000 data, contig: 0442
AUCCAGCUGAUGAGUCCCAAAUAGGACGAAGCGGGGCGCAUCCUGGAU